AUUGAACGCUGGCGGCAUGCCUUACACAUGCAAGUCGAACGGUAACAGGUCUUCGGAUGCUGACGAGUGGCGAACGGGUGAGUAAUACAUCGGAACGUGCCCAGUCGUGGGGGAUAACGAAGCGAAAGCUUUGCUAAUACCGCAUACGAUCUACGGAUGAAAGCGGGGGAUCGCAAGACCUCGCGCGAUUGGAGCGGCCGAUGGCAGAUUAGGUAGUUGGUGGGGUAAAGGCUUACCAAGCCUACGAUCUGUAGCUGGUCUGAGAGGACGACCAGCCACACUGGGACUGAGACACGGCCCAGACUCCUACGGGAGGCAGCAGUGGGGGAUUUUGGACAAUGGGCGCAAGCCUGAUCCAGCAAUGCCGCGUGCAGGAUGAAGGCCUUCGGGUUGUAAACUGCUUUUGUACGGAACGAAAAGCUCUGGGUUAAUACCCUGGGGUCAUGACGGUACCGUAAGAAUAAGCACCGGCUAACUACGUGCCAGCAGCCGCGGUAA
rnacentral:rRNA from 1 species